CCUACGGGAGGCUGCAGUGAGGAAUAUUGGUCAAUGGGCGAGAGCCUGAACCAGCCAAGUCGCGUGAAGGAUGACGGCCCUACGGGUUGUAAACUUCUUUUGUCAGGGAGCAAUUGGGUCCACGCGUGGGCUUAGCGAGAAUACCUGAAGAAUAAGGAUCGGCUAACUCCGUGCCAGCAGCCGCGGUAAUACGGAGGAUCCGAGCGUUAUCCUGACUUAUUGGGUUUAAAGGGUGCGUAGGCGGCCUUUUAAGUCAGCGGUGAAAGUCUGUGGCUCAACCAUAGAAUUGCCGUUGAAACUGGCAGUCUUGAGUGGGCGAGAAGUAUGCAGAAUGCGUGGUGUAGCGGUGAAAUGCAUAGAUAUCACGCAGAACUCCGAUUGCGAAGGCAGCAUACCGGCGCCCGACUGACGCUGAGGCACGAAAGCGUGGGUAUCGAACAGGAUUAGAUACCCCUGUAGUC
rnacentral:rRNA from 1 species